CGACGUAGGUUUGAUCAGUGGCUCAGGAUGAACGCUGGCGGUAUGCUUUACACAUGCAAGUCGUACGAGAGUUUUUUAACUCAAGUGGCGGACGGGUGAGUAAUACAUCGGAACGUGCCCGAGAGUGGGGGAUAACGGAGCGAAAGCUUUGCUAAUACCGCAUACGAUCUACGGAUGAAAGCAGGGGACCGCAAGGCCUUGCGCUCAUGGAGCGGCCGAUGGCAGAUUAGGUAGUUGGUGGGAUAAAGCUUACCAAGCCGACGAUCUGUAGCUGGUCUGAGAGGACGACCAGCCACACUGGAACUGAGACACGGUCCAGACUCCUACGGGAGGCAGCAGGUGGGAAUUUGGACAAUGGACGAAAGUCUGAUCCAGCCAUUCCGCGUGCAGGAUGAAGGCCCUCGGGUUGUAAACUGUUUUUGUACGGAACGAAAAGGUUUCUCUUAAUACGAGGAGCUCAUGACGGUACCGUAAGAAUAAGCACCGGCUAACUACGUG
rnacentral:rRNA from 1 species